rnacentral:misc_RNA from 1 species
GAUGAAGAACGUAGUGAAAUGCGAUAAGUAGUGUGAAUUGCAGAAUUCAGUGAAUCAUCGAAUCUUUGAACGCACAUUGCGCCCCUUGGUAUUCCAUGGGGCAUGCCUGUUCGAGCGUCAUUUGUACCUUCAAGCUCUGCUUGGUGUUGGGUGUUUGUCUCGCCUCUGCGUGUAGACUCGCCUCAAAACAAUUGGCAGCCGGCGUAUUGAUUUCGGAGCGCAGUACAUCUCGCGCUUUGCACUCAAACGACGACGUCCAAAAGUACAUUUUUACACUCUUGACCUCGGAUCAGGUAGGGAUACCCGCUGAACUUAAGCAUAUCAAUAAGCGGAGGA